CCAAUAGCGUAUAUUAAAGUUGUUGCAGUUAAAAAGCUCGUAGUUGAAUUUCGGGAUCAGAUUGUCGGUCGUGCCUCGGUACGCACUGGCAUUAUUGGUUCCUACCUUCUGAAGAACCGCGAUGUCAUUAAUUUGGUGUCGUGGGGAAUCAGGACUGUUACUUUGAAAAAAUUAGAGUGUUUAAAGCAGGCGCACGCUUGAAUACAUUAGCAUGGAAUAAUGAAAUAGGACGUUUGAUUCUAUUUUGUUGGUUUCUAGGAUCGACGUAAUGAUUAAUAGGGAUAGUUGGGGGCAUUAGUAUUCAAUUGUCAGAGGUGAAAUUCUUGGAUUUAUUGAAGACUAACUACUGCGAAAGCAUUUGCCAAGGAUGUUUUCAUUAAUCAAGAACGAAAGUUAGGGGAUCGAAGACGAUCAGAUACCGUCGUAGUCUUAACCAUAAACUAUGCCGACUAGGGAUCGGAUGAUGUUAAUUUUUUAAUGACUCAUUCGGCGCCUUACG
rnacentral:sRNA from 1 species